CCCCCCGCAGUGUCCCCACCAACCGUGCGGACCUGACCCUCCCCGGGUCAUUCCACGCCCACCGUUGCUGUCCCACUGGGAGCCUCAUGCCGAUGUCUCAAAUUGUCAGGAAGUUGGAGUGGCUUUGCUUUCUUUGUGGGGUCCCAGUUGCUGCCACGACAAAGUGCCACAUACUCAGCCACAUGGGUUCAUGAUCUGGCGAUCACAGAGGCCAGAAUCACGCCCUGGGUCUUGAGGGGCUGUGCUCAGGGUGUGGGCAGCACUUUGUCCUCCUGGAGCCUCGGGGGAGAAGCCGUGGCCGCACCUGUUCCAGCUUCUAGAGGAGCCGCGUCUCUGACCUUCUUCCAGGCGCUCCCCAGCCGUGGCGGCUUCCUCAGGACUCGGCCAGACAACCCAGGACCAUCACGCAUCUCAAGACCCUGCUUCGUCACAUCUGCAAAGUCCCUUUUCCCAGGCCAGUCCCGUCGUCACAGGCUCCAGGAUGGGAACGGCCUCAGUGCUCUGUUGCUCUUUGGGUUUGCUCUUCAGAGAAGCCCUGCCCCGUCUUCACCUAGUUUCUUUUCUCUUUUCUCUCUCUCUCUCUUUUUUUUUUUUUUUUUUUUUUUGUCUUUUGCUUUUUCUAGGGCUGCUCCUGUGACAUGUGGAGGUUCCCAGGCUAGGGGUCCAAUCAGAGCUGUAGCCACGUCUGUGACCCUACACCACAGCUCACGGCAACGCCGGAUCCUUAACCCGCUGAGCGAGGCCAGGGACCGAACCCGCAACCUCAUGGUUCCUAGUUGGAUUCGUUAACCACUGCGCCACGACGGGAACUCCUAGCCUAGUUUUCUGUCGCACGUAUUUGUCUUCCGCAUUAAUUCGCAGAAGAGCUUAGAACCGCGUAGCACCAACCUCUCAGCUUUAUGCUGAAGUCUUUGCAAAUUUUGUUGACAGAAGGUGGGAGCCCUGUGCAAACACGCUUCCGAAAGGACCCAUCCCUGAAAUCCCACUUUGUCACCUGGGUUCUUUCUCCUUCAGAGCAGAGAUUUUAGGUUCUGUUCCGCUGCUGAGAAGUCAAUGUGCGUGUGAGAGUGUCAGCGUGCGUGGCUCGGGCACUCACAGCUGGCGGACGGG
rnacentral:lncRNA from 1 species